rnacentral:rRNA from 1 species
UACGUAGGGCGCAAGCGUUAUCCGGAAUUAUUGGGCGUAAAGAGCUCGUAGGCGGUUUGUCGCGUCUGCCGUGAAAGUCCGGGGCUCAACUCCGGAUCUGCGGUGGGUACGGGCAGACUAGAGUGAUGUAGGGGAGACUGGAAUUCCUGGUGUAGCGGUGAAAUGCGCAGAUAUCGUAAGGAACGCCAGUGGCGAAAGCGAAUCUCUGGGCAGCAACUGACGCUGAGGCACGAAGGCCAGGGGAGCAAACGGG